rnacentral:tRNA from 1 species
UGGCUCAGUGGGUAGGAGCACUUGCUGUGUAUGCAUGUGGACCUGAGUUCAAAUCUCAG